UGAGGAAUCUUGCGCAAUGGGGGAAACCCUGACGCAGCAACGCCGCGUGAGUGAAGAAGGCCUUCGGGGUGUAAAGCUCUUUCGGCAGGAACGAUAAUGACGGUACCUGCAGAAGAAGCUGCGGCUAACUACGUGCCAGCAGCCGCGGUAAUACGUAGGCAGCAAGCGUUGUUCGGAGUUACUGGGCGUAAAGAGUGUGUAGGCGGUUCGCCAAGUUCGGUGUGAAAUCUCCCGGCUUAACUGGGAGGGUUCGCCGAAUACUGGCGGGCUAGAGUGCGGGAGAGGAGAGCGGAAUUCCUGGUGUAGCGGUGAAAUGCGUAGAUAUCAGGAGGAACACCUGCGGUGUAGACGGCUCUCUGGACCGUUUCUGACGCUGAGACACGAAAGCGUGGGUAGCAAACA
rnacentral:rRNA from 1 species